GGUUACCUGGACACACCUGGGCCAGUUUUCCAUCUCUCCUUCCUGCUGACUCUCCCAAGGAAAAGCAACAUAGGCACCGAGUGUGGGAUUGCAUUUUUUCCCCCCGCAAAAAGGAAUUUAACUCUGAUUUCCUGACCAAAAUCACCCAUUUCUGCGACAGUUUGCUCUCCAUGGAGGGGUUGGGCUGGUGGGAGGUUUUCUGAUCCAGCUUCUCAUCACACCCAGAUAUUGUGUGUGUUUUGGAAAAUAAACAGUGUGAAGAGCAGUUCUGGAAGAAACAAAGUUGGAAGCACCUGGCUGGGUUUAGAGGCUUGAGAAAUCCUUCUGAUGGGACAAGCACUUGCAUGCAUUGUUUGCAUUUGUUUUUCCAGUGCUGGAUUAUUUACCAUGAGACGCCGUGCACCAGGUGUUGGGGAUUUUAUUGGCAGAGGUUCUUAUUUACAGCGGAAUCCAAGGAAACAGGAAAGGACUGAAAGGUUGCUGAGCUCUCCAUGCUCGGCAUCGGCUUUCCACCAAAACCUCCAGACAAAACAUCUCAGCAGUUCUGGAACAGAGACAACACCUCGUGGAGAGGAUGUCAUCGUCAACACCUGACAAUGUCCUGGUCGCCAUCCCAGCCACGGUGUCUGGAAGGAGGGAAAAAGAGCAGCGAGGGAAGAACACCUUUCUUGUGGGAAAACUCAAUACGUGAACCAAAACAGAGGGAAAAAGGAAGGAAAAGGAGAAAAAGAGAAGGAAGAAGGAGGCUCCUGGUUCUUGCUGGACUGAGGGGGCUGCAUCCCAGGGAUGCUCUGGGCAUCCAGAGCCUGGUGCUGUGUCGGGGAGAAGUCCUGGGAGGAAGGUGCAGCUGAAGUCAGCAGCGCUCGGGUGAGCUGUGUCAUUUCCCAGCUUUAAUAAGCGGAAGUGAAACAAGGAGGGAAAUUAAUCCAAGGCAGCCAGUAACUCCGAUUCUUCCCUGAACAAUGCCGUGCCCAGGAGAUGGCAUUCACAGGAUUCCUGCGGAAGAGGCUGGAGGGGACAUUGUUUGGAGUUUUCCUUGCAGGAGACGUGAAGAUGGAUGAAAAAUCUUCAUGGCUCCAGUGACCAGCACUCCCUGUGGCACUAUCAGUGCAGAGGGAGGUUGAAUCUGGAGGGAGGGGCUUUGGAGCCGUCCAGGCUGUUCUUGCUGGCUAAUGGAAUUUUUUAAUCUAAAUAAAGUUUUCCUGCUCUUCCCAGCUCCUCUGUAAAUAGCAGCAGCAUGGGGGUGGGGGACGGAAUCAGAAUGGGAGAUGUGAGGGGCUUGGAAUAGAGAAAAAAUGCCAGUUUAAAGAGUAAUUCUGGGAGGAGAGGGAAGGGAAGGGAAGGGAAGGGAAGGGAAGGGAAGGGAAGGGAAGGGAAGGGAAGGGAAGGGAAGGGAAGGGAAGGGAAGGGAAGGGAAGGGAA
rnacentral:lncRNA from 1 species